rnacentral:lncRNA from 1 species
UCUCCGAAUCUUCCUGCCAUUCCAUCUUAAUAUCCUCAAGGAAGUCGCUGGUUGGAAGUAAAACGAUCGAAAAUUCAGCUUGCUCAGGUAGCUACGAAAGCGCAUCUGCAACAACAUUCUCUUUCCACUUUUUGUAAGUUAUUUCAUAAUCAAAUCCAAGAAGUUUUGUUACCCAUUUUUGCUGCUCGGGGGAAGAUAUCUUUUGCUCCAAGAGAUAUUUUAGGCUUU